rnacentral:rRNA from 1 species
GACGAACGCUGGCGGCGGGCCUAACACAUGCAAGUCGAACGAGUGGCGGACGGGUGAGUAAUGUCUGGGAAACUGCCUGAUGGAGGGGGAUAACUACUGGAAACGGUAGCUAAUACCGCAUACCGUCAGAUGGGCCCAGAUGGGAUUCGCUAGUGGGUGGGGUAAAGGCUCACCAAGGCGACGAUCCCUAGCUGGUCUGAGAGGAUGACCAGACACACUGGAACUGAGACACGGUCCAGACUCCUACGGGAGGCAGCAGUGGGGAAUAUUGCACAAUGGGCGAAAGCCUGAUGCAGCCACGCCGCGUGUAUGAAGAAGGCCUUCGGGUUGUAAAGUACUUUGAGCGGGGAGGCUUUACCCGCAGAAGAAGCACCGGCUAACUCCGUGCCAGCAGCCGCGGUAAUAC